GACGAACGCUGGCGGCGUGCCUAAUACAUGCAAGUAGAACGCAGUUGCGAACGGGUGAGUAACGCGUAGGUAACUGCCUCAUAGCGGGGGAUAACUAUUGGAAACGAUAGCUAAUACCGCAUACUGUGGGAUUGACCUGCGUUGUAUUAGGUAGUUGGUGAGGUAAAGGCUCAACAAGGCGACGAUACAUAGCCGACCUGAGAGGGUGAUUCGGCAAAAUGGGAACGAGGAAAGGGCCAGACUCCUUCGGGGGGGAGCAAGUGGGGAUCUUCGGGAAUGGACGGAAAGCCUGACGGGGAAAGGCGGGGGGGUGGAGGAGGUUUUUGGGUCGGUAAGCCUCGUUUGUUGGGGAGCGGUAACUAACCAGAAAGCGACGGCUAACUACGUGCCAGCAGCCGCGGUAAUUC
rnacentral:rRNA from 1 species